rnacentral:rRNA from 1 species
UACGUAGGGUGCGAGCGUUGUCCGGAAUUAUUGGGCGUAAAGAGCUUGUAGGCGGUUUGUCGCGUCUGCUGUGAAAAUCCGGGGCUCAACCCCGGACUUGCAGUGGGUACGGGCAGACUGGAGUUCGGUAGGGGAGACUGGAAUUCCUGGUGUAGCGGUGAAAUGCGCAGAUAUCAGGAGGAACACCGGUGGCGAAGGCGGGUCUCUGGGCCGAUACUGACGCUGAGGAGCGAAAGCGUGGGGAGCGAACAGG